AUCAUAUUGCACAUUAUAGGUGUCAAGGAGCUGUAAAAACAUGAUGGAACUGUUUUAUGUAGUUUAAUCUGGGAGUGUUGAUGAUCUGAGAUGUUGCUGUGUAACUUGCCAAUGUGCAUUUAAUAGUGAUGAAUAAUAGUGAAUAAUUGAUGCAAAAUGUGAGGUUUGGGCUAAGCAGGUAAAAGAGUAUCUGUGACUCGGGUGUCAUGAAAAUACGAAUCAAGGAAGUUCUAUGUUGGGAUUUAUACUGGCUUCUGGCAUUUCGAUAUGGCUUAUAGAACAAG